rnacentral:rRNA from 1 species
UACGUAGGGGGCAAGCGUUAUUCGGAUUUACUGGGUGUAAAGGGAGCGUAGACGGCAGCGCAAGUCUGGAGUGAAAUGCCGGGGCUCAACCCCGGAACUGCUUUGGAAACUGUGCAGCUAGAGUGCGGGAGAGGUAAGCGGAAUUCCUAGUGUAGCGGUGAAAUGCGUAGAUAUUAGGAGGAACACCAGUGGCGAAAGCGGCUCUCUGGUCUGUAACUGACGCUGAGGUUCGAAAGCGUGGGUAGCAAACAAG